GCAGGUAUAGCUCAGUGGCAGAGUCCAUGCUUAGCAUGCACAGAUCCUGGGUUCAAUCCCCAGUACCUCCA
rfam:Camelus ferus unplaced genomic scaffold scaffold812, whole genome shotgun sequence.